rnacentral:rRNA from 1 species
GUGCAGUCGACGGUACAGGAAGCAGCUUGCUGCUUCGCUGACGAGUGGCGGACGGGUGAGUAUGUCUGGGAACUGCCUGAUGGAGGGGGAUAACUACUGGAACGGUAGCUAAUACCGCAUAACGUCGCAAGACCAAAGAGGGGGACCUUCGGGCCUCUUGCCAUCGGAUGUGCCCAGAUGGGAUUAGCUAGUAGGUGGGGUAACGGCUCACCUAGGCGACGAUCCCUAGCUGGUCUGAGAGGAUGACCAGCCACACUGGAACUGAGACACGGUCCAGACUCAUACGGGAGGCAGCAGUGGGGAAUAUUGCACAAUGGGCGCAAGCCUGAUGCAGCCAUGCCGCGUGUAUGAAGAAGGCCUUCGGGUUGUAAAGUACUUUCAGCGGGGAGGAAGGGAGUAAAGUUAAUACCUUUUGCUCAUUGACGUU